rnacentral:rRNA from 1 species
GAUGAACGCUGGCGGCGUGCCUAAUACAUGCAAGUCGAGCGAACAGACGAGGAGCUUGCUCCUCUGACGUUAGCGGCGGACGGGUGAGUAACACGUGGAUAACCUACCUAUAAGACUGGGAUAACUUCGGGAAACCGGAGCUAAUACCGGAUAAUAUAUUGAACCGCAUGGUUCAAUAGUGAAAGACGGUUUUGCUGUCACUUCUAGAUGGAUCCGCGCCGCAUUAGCUAGUUGGUAAGGUAACGGCUUACCAAGGCAACGAUGCGUAGCCGACCUGAGAGGGUGAUAGGCCACACUGGAACUGGGACACGGUCCAUGCUCCUGCGGGAGGCAGCAGUAGGGAAUCUUCCGCAAUGGGCGAAAGCCUGACGGAGCAACGCCGCGUGAGUGAUGAAGGUCUUCGGAUCGUAAAACUCUGUUAUUAGGGAAAAACAAAUGUGUAAGUAGCUAUGCACGUCUUGACGGUACCUAAUCAGAAAGCCACGGCUAACUACGUG